GCGUAGAAUCUGCCUUCAGGUUCGGGACAACCACUGGAAACGGUGGCUAAUACCGAAUGUGCAGCAAUGUGAAAAAUUUAUUGCCUGAAGAUGAGCUCGCGUCUGAUUAGCUAGUAGGUGUGGUAAGAGCGCACCUAGGCGACGAUCAGUAGCUGGUCUGAGAGGAUGAUCAGCCACACUGGGACUGAGACACGGCCCAGACUCCUACGGGAGGCAGCAGUGGGGAAUUUUCCGCAAUGGGCGAAAGCCUGAGGGAGCAAUACCGCGUGAGGGAGGAAGGCUCUUGGGUUGUAAACCUCUUUUCUCAAGGAAGAAAAAAAUGACGGUACUUGAGGAAUAAGCAUCGGCUAACUCCGUGCCAGCAGCCGCGGUAAUACGGAGGAUGCAAGCGUUAUCCGGAAUGAUUGGGCGUAAAGCGUCCGCAGGUGGCUAUGUAAGUCUGCUGUUAAAGAGUCUGGCUCAACCAGAUAAAGGCAGUGGAAACUACAUGGCUAGAGUGCGUUCGGGGCAGAGGGAAUUCCUGGUGUAGCGGUGAAAUGCGUAGAGAUCAGGAAGAACACCGGUGGCGAAAGCGCUCUGCUAGGCCGCAACUGACACUGAGGGACGAAAGCUAGGGGAGCGAAAGGGAUUAGAUACCCCCUGUAGUC
rnacentral:rRNA from 1 species